CCACCACGAGGAAGGACCACUUCCCAUUGCCGUUCAUUGACCAAAUGCUUGAGAGGUUAGCGGGUUAUGCUUUUUAUUGUUUUCUUGAUGGUUAUUCUGGUUAUAAUCAAAUUGUUAUUUCACCCGAGGACCAAGAAAAAACCACUUUUACAUGCCCGUUUGGAACAUUUGCAUAUCGUCGCAUGCCUUUUGGUUUAUGUAAUGCACCUGCUACAUUUCAAAGAUGUAUGAUGAGCAUAUUUUCUGAUCAUGUAGAAAAGAUAAUUGAAGUGUUUAUGGAUGAUUUUAGCGUAUUUGGUGAUUCGUUUGAUAGUUGUUUGCAUAAUCUAAGUGUGAUCCUAAAACGUUGUGUUGAAACUAACCUUGUACUUAAUUGGGAAAAGUGUCAUUUUAUGGUUAAACAAGGUAUCGUUUUAGGUCAUAUAAUCUCUGAAAAGGGUAUUGAGGUUGAUAAGGCGAAAAUAGAUCUUGUACGUCACUUACCCUCUCCGACUUCGGUUAGAGAGGUUCGUUCGUUUCUUGGCCAUGCAGGAUUUUAUCGUAGGUUUAUUAAAGAUUUCUCGAAGAUAGCACAACCUCUUUGCCGACUCCUACAAAAAGAAGUGGCGUUUGAAUUCACCAAGGAGUGCACGGCAUCAUUCAACCGACUCAAGGAGUUGUUGACCACGGCACCCAUCAUUGUUCCACCGGAUUGGAGUCUACCUUUCGAGCUCAUGUGUGAUGCGUCCGACUAUGCUUUAGGAGCUGUUUUAGGACAAAGAAAGGACAAGAGGCCGCAUGUCAUUUACUACGCCUCACGGACGUUGAACGAUGCACAAUUGAACUACUCCACUACGGAAAAAGAACUUCUUGCCGUUGUCUUUGCUUUAGAUAAAUUUCGAUCAUAUUUAAUUGGAACUAAAGUAAUUGUUUUCACUGAUCAUGCAGCUCUGAAGUACUUGCUCACCAAAAAGGAGGCCAAGCCACGGCUAAUUCGAUGGAUAUUAUUACUUCAAGAGUUCGACAUAGAGAUUCGGGACAAGAAGGGAAGUGAGAACGUGGUGGCUGACCACCUAAGCCGAAUGGUGCAUAAUGAGGAGUUGGUGCCGAUUUUGGAGACAUUCCCCGAUGAACAAUUGCUGUCCAUUAAGGUUAGUGCACCUUGGUAUGCCGAUAUUGUUAAUUUUUUGGUGUCAAAACGUAUUCCAAGUGAGUUCACUAGGCACCAAACGUGAUAAACUUAGGCAUGAUGCACGGUUUUUAUGUGUGGGAUGAUCCGUACUUAUGGAAAUUUUGCCCCGAUCAGAUUAUACGUCGUUGUGUGCACGAUUCUGAAUGUCAUUCAAUUUUGAGUUUUUGUCACACAUAUGCAUGUGGAGGGCACUUUGGUACACAACGCACAGCCCUUAAGGUGUUACAAUGUGGAUUUUAUUGGCCGAGUAUUUUUAAAGAUGCUAAAACUUUUUGCUUAACAUGUGAUAAAUGCCAACGAAUGGGUGGUAUUAGUGCUAGGGACCAAAUGCCGCAGGUUUCUAUCCUAAAUGUUGAAAUUUUUGAUGUUUGGGGUAUUGAUUUUAUGGGUCCUUUUCCUUCUUCGUAUGGUUUUACAUAUAUUUUGCUUGCGGUUGAUUAUGUGUCAAAGUGGGUGGAAGCCAAGGCCACCCGGACUAAUGAUUCUAAGGUGGUUGCAGAUUUUAUUAGAACUAACAUUUUUGCAAGGUUCGGAAUGCCACGAGUGAUCAUUAGUGACGGAGGGUCACACUUUUGCAAUCGGACUAUUGAAGCGUUAUUGAGAAAAUACAGUGUCACCCAUAAGGUUUCUACACCUUACCAUCCUCAGACUAAUGGGCAAGCCGAGGUUUCCAACCGGGAGAUCAAGCAAAUACUUGAGAAGACCGUUGGGCCAACGAGGAAGGAUUGGAACUUACGACUUGAUGACGCACUUUGGGCAUAUCGUACGGCGUACAAAACCCCCAUUGGGAUGUCCCCCUUCCGACUUGUCUAUGGCAAGGCGUGCCAUCUUCCUGUUGAAUUGGAGCACAAAGCACUUUGGGCCAUUAAGAGAUUUAACAUGAACCUCGAGGAAGCAGGAAGUCAAAGGAGAUUGCAAUUGAAUGAGCUUGAUGAGAUACGGCUUGAGGCGUACGAUAAUGCAAGCAUUUACAAGCAAAAGACCAAAGCUUUCCAUGACAACAUGAUCCGUGGGAAAUCA
rnacentral:lncRNA from 1 species